GACGAACGCUGGCGGCGUGCUUAACACAUGCAAGUCGAACGGAAAGGCCCUGCUUUUGUGGGGUGCUCGAGUGGCGAACGGGUGAGUAACACGUGAGUAACCUGCCCUGUACUUUGGGAUAACUUCAGGAAACUGGUGCUAAUACCUGAUAGGAGCUCCUGCUGCAUGGUGGGGGUUGGAAAGUUUCGGCGGUUGGGGAUGGACUCGCGGCUUAUCAGCUUGUUGGUUGGGUAGUGGCUUACCAAGGCUUUGACGGGUAGCCGGCCUGAGAGGGUGACCGGCCACAUUGGGACUGAGAUACGGCCCAGACUCCUACGGGAGGCAGCAGUGGGGAAUCUUGCACAAUGGGCGGAAGCCUGAUGAAGAAACGCCGCGUGCGGGAUGACGGCCUUCGGGUUGUAAACCGCUUUCGCCUGUGACGAAGCGUGAGUGACGGUAAUGGGUAAAGAAGCACCGGCUAACUACGUG
rnacentral:rRNA from 1 species